UGAACAACAGAAGCAGUAGUAAGAAAGAAUGGACAGAGACCAAAAACCAAGAUCAAAGUGUGCAAUGAGCUACGAUGAAACGAGACAGUAUGAAACAGUGGUCAGCCAGCAGCCUCAGCAGCGAGAAGAAUCGUAAGGGCAGACCUGGUCGAAACAGAGAGGGUAGCCUGACAUAAUGCCAUGAAAGACAGGUCUGAAAUCAUGACCGAUCAGGCCAGAAGCGAAACCUCCGAGAUCUCAGCACGGUGAAUUGAGAAGAAGCAACAUGUGAGAUGGCUCAUUGUAAUCUGCAGAUGGAGAGAAGCGAGCGCCAUCGC
rnacentral:lncRNA from 1 species